rnacentral:rRNA from 1 species
GUAGGUGGCAAGCGUUGUCCGGAAUUAUUGGGCGUAAAGCGCGCGCAGGUGGUUCUUUAAGUCUGAUGUGAAAGCCCCCGGCUCAACCGGGGAGGGUCAUUGGAAACUGGGGAACUUGAGUGCAGGAGAGGAAAGUGGAAUUCCACGUGUAGCGGUGAAGUGCGUAGAUAUGUGGAGGAACACCAGUGGCGAAGGCGACUUUCUGGCCUGUAACUGACACUGAGGCGCGAAAGCGUGGGGAGCAAACAGGGAUUAGAUACCCUGGUAGUCCACGCCGUAAACGAUGAGUGCUAAGUGUUGGGGGGGUUUCCCGCCCCUCAGUGCUGCAGCUAACGCAUUAAGCACUCCGCCUGGGGAUACGGUCGCAAGACUG